ACAUCCAGCGAACUUGGCAGAGAUGCCUUGGUGCCUUCGGGAACGCUGAGACAGGUGCUGCAUGGCUGUCGUCAGCUCGUGUUGUGAAAUGUUGGGUUAAGUCCCGNAACGAGCGCAACCCUUUAUCCUUUGUUGCCAGCGAUUCGGUCGGGAACUCAAAGGAGACUGCCGGUGAUAAACCGGAGGAAGGUGGGGAUGACGUCAAGUCAUCAUGGCCCUUACGAGUAGGGCUACACACGUGCUACAAUGGCGCAUACAAAGAGAAGCGACCUCGCGAGAGCAAGCGGACCUCAUAAAGUGCGUCGUAGUCCGGAUCGGAGUCUGCAACUCGACUCCGUGAAGUCGGAAUCGCUAGUAAUCGUGGAUCAGAAUGCCACGGUGAAUACGUUCCCGGGCCUUGUACACACCGCCCGUCACACCAUGGGAGUGGGUUGCAAAAGAAGUAGGUAGCUUAACCUUCGGGAGGGCGCUUACCACUUUGUGAUUCAUGACUGGGGUGAAGUCGUAACAAGGUAGGCGUAGUGCU
rnacentral:rRNA from 1 species